AACGAACGCUGGCGGCAUGCCUAACACAUGCAAGUCGAACGAGACCUUCGGGUCUAGUGGCGCACGGGUGCGUAACACGUGGGAAUUUGCCCUUCGGUUCGGAAUAACUGAGAGAAAUUUCAGCUAAUACCGGAUGAUGACGUAAGUCCAAAGAUUUAUCGCCGAAGGAUGAGCCCGCGUAGAAUUAGGUAGUUGGUGGGGUAAUGGCCCACCAAGCCGACGAUCCUUAGCUGGUCUGAGAGGAUGAUCAGCCACACUGGGACUGAGACACGGCCCAGACUCCUACGGGAGGCAGCAGUGGGGAAUAUUGGACAAUGGGCGAAAGCCUGAUCCAGCAAUGCCGCGUGAGUGAUGAAGGCCUUAGGGUUGUAAAGCUCUUUUACCAGGGAUGAUAAUGACAGUACCUGGAGAAUAAGCUCCGGCUAACUCCGUGCCAGCCGCCGCGGUAAGAC
rnacentral:rRNA from 1 species